rnacentral:rRNA from 1 species
UACGUAGGGUGCGAGCGUUGUCCGGAAUUAUUGGGCGUAAAGGGCUCGUAGGCGGUUUGUCACGUCGGGAGUGAAAACUCGGGGCUUAACUCCGAGCCUGCUUCCGAUACGGGCUGACUAGAGGUAUGCAGGGGAGAACGGAAUUCCUGGUGUAGCGGUGAAAUGCGCAGAUAUCAGGGGGAACACCGGUGGCGAAGGCGGGUCUCUGGGCAACAACUGACGCUGAGGAGCGAAAGCGUGGGGAGCGAACAGG